rnacentral:rRNA from 1 species
AUUGAACGCUGGCGGCAGGCCUAACACAUGCAAGUCGAGCGGAUGAGGAGAGCUUGCUCUCUGAUUUAGCGGCGGACGGGUGAGUAAUGCCUAGGAAUCUGCCUGGUAGUGGGGGAUAACGUUCCGAAAGGAACGCUAAUACCGCGUACGUCCUACGGGAGAAAGCAGGGGACCUUCGGGCCUUGCGCUAUCAGAUGAGCCUAGUUCGGUUUAGCUAGUUGGUGAGGUAAUGGCUCACCAAGGCGACGAUCCGUAACUGGUCUGAGAGGAUGAUCAGUCACACUGGAACUGAGACACGGUCCAGACUCCUACGGGAGGCAGCAGUGGGGAAUAUUGGAUAAUGGGCGAAAGCCUGAUCCAGCCAUGCCGCGUGUGUGAAGAAGGUCUUCGGAUUGUAAAGCACUUUAAGUUGGGAGGAAGGGCAGUAAGUUAAUACCUUGCUGUUUUGACGUUACCGACAGAAUAAGCACCGGCUAACUUCGUGCCAGCAGCCGCCGUAAUAC